CCUACGGGAGGCAGCAGUGGGGAAUCUUGGACAAUGGGCGCAAGCCUGAUCCAGCCAUGCCGCGUGAGCGAUGAAGGCCUUAGGGUUGUAAAGCUCUUUCGCCAGGGAUGAUUAAGACAGUACCUGGUAAAGAAACCCCGGCUAACUCCGUGCCAGCAGCCGCGGUAAUACGGAGGGGGUUAGCGUUGUUCGGAAUUACUGGGCGUAAAGCGCACGUAGGCGGAUUAGUCAGUCAGGGGUGAAAUCCCGGGGCUCAACCCCGGAACUGCCUUUGAUACUGCUAGUCUAGAGGUCGAGAGAGGUGAGUGGAAUUCCGAGUGUAGAGGUGAAAUUCGUAGAUAUUCGGAGGAACACCAGUGGCGAAGGCGGCUCACUGGCUCGAUACUGACGCUGAGGURCGAAAGCGUGGGG
rnacentral:rRNA from 1 species